GAGGAUGUAGCUCAAGCAGUAGCGCGCUCGCCUGACAUGUGUGGGGUGCUGUGUUCGAUACUCAGCACCACA
rnacentral:tRNA from 1 species